AUACAGGGUGACAGCCCCGUACACAAAAAUGCACAUAUUGUGAGCUUGAUGAGUAGGGCGGGACACGUGGUAUCCUGUCUGAAUAUGGGGGGACCAUCCUCCAAGGCUAAAUACUCCUGACUGACCGAUAGUGAACCAGUACCGUGAGGGAAAGGCGAAAAGAACCCCGGCGAGGGGAGUGAAAAAGAACCUGAAACCGUGUACGUACAAGCAGUGGGAGCACGCUUAGGCGUGUGACUGCGUACCUUUUGUAUAAUGGGUCAGCGACUUAUAUUCUGUAGCAAGGUUAACCGAAUAGGGGAGCCGAAGGGAAACCGAGUCUUAACUGGGCGUUAAGUUGCAGGGUAUAGACCCGAAACCCGGUGAUCUAGCCAUGGGCAGGUUGAAGGUUGGGUAACACUAACUGGAGGACCGAACCGACUAAUGUUGAAAAAUUAGCGGAUGACUUGUGGCUGGGGGUGAAAGGCCAAUCAAACCGGGAGAUAGCUGGUUCUCCCCGAAAGCUAUUUAGGUAGCGCCUCGUGAAUUCAUCUCCGGGGGUAGAGCACUGUUUCGGCAAGGGGGUCAUCCCGACUUACCAACCCGAUGCAAACUGCGAAUACCGGAGAAUGUUAUCACGGGAGACACACGGCGGGUGCUAACGUCCGUCGUGAAGAGGGAAACAACCCAGACCGCCAGCUAAGGUCCCAAAGUCAUGGUUAAGUGGGAAACGAUGUGGGAAGGCCCAGACAGCCAGGAUGUUGGCUUAGAAGCAGCCAUCAUUUAAAGAAAGCGUAAUAGCUCACUGGUCGAGUCGGCCUGCGCGGAAGAUGUAACGGGGCUAAACCAU
rnacentral:rRNA from 1 species